GUGGAAGUGGUGUGAGCCAUUAAGCUAACUUGUACUAAUUACCCGUGAGGCUUAACCAUACAACGCCAAACGCGUUU
rnacentral:rRNA from 2 species